rnacentral:rRNA from 1 species
GACGAACGCUGGCGGCGUGCUUAACACAUGCAAGUCGAACGGAAAGGCCCUGCUUUUGUGGGGUGCUCGAGUGGCGAACGGGUGAGUAACACGUGAGUAACCUGCCCUUGACUUUGGGAUAACUUCAGGAAACUGGGGCUAAUACCGGAUAGGAGCUCCUGCUGCAUGGUGGGGGUUGGAAAGUUUCGGCGGUUGGGGAUGGACUCGCGGCUUAUCAGAUUGUUGGUGGGGUAGUGGCUUACCAAGGCUUUGACGGGUAGCCGGCCUGAGAGGGUGACCGGCCACAUUGGGACUGAGAUACGGCCCAGACUCCUACGGGAGGCAGCAGUGGGGAAGAUUGCACAAUGGGCGGAAGCCUGAUGCAGCAACGCCGCGUGCGGGAUGACGGCCUUCGGGUUGUAAACCGCUUUCGCCUGUGACGAAGCGUGAGUGACGGUAAUGGGUAAAGAAGCACCGGCUAACUACGUG